rnacentral:rRNA from 1 species
GGAUCCAGACUUUGAUUCUGGCUCAGGAUGAACGCUAGCUACAGGCUUAACACAUGCAAGUCGAGGGGAAACGAUAUUGGAAGCUUGCUUCCGAUAGGCGUCGACCGGCGCACGGGUGAGUAACGCGUAUCCAACCUGCCCAUCACUUGGGGAUAACCUUGCGAAAGUAAGACUAAUACCCAAUGACGUCUCUAGAAGACAUCUGAAAGAGAUUAAAGAUUUAUCGGUGAUGGAUGGGGAUGCGUCUGAUUAGCUUGUUGGCGGGGUAACGGCCCACCAAGGCAACGAUCAGUAGGGGUUCUGAGAGGAAGGUCCCCCACAUUGGAACUGAGACACGGUCCAAACUCCUACGGGAGGCAGCAGUGAGGAAUAUUGGUCAAUGGACGAGAGUCUGAACCAGCCAAGUAACGUGCAGGAUGACGGCCCUAUGGGUUGUAAACUGCUUUUAUAAGGGAAUAAAGUGAGUCUCGUGAGACUUUUUGCAUGUACCUUAUGAAUAAGGACCGGCUAAUUCCGUGCCAGCAGCCGCGGUAAUACGGAAGGUCCGGGCGUUAUCCGGAUUUAUUGGGUUUAAAGGGAGCGUAGGCCGGAGAUUAAGCGUGUUGUGAAAUGUAGACGCUCAACGUCUGCACUGCAGCGCGAACUGGUUUCCUUGAGUACGCACAAAGUGGGCGGAAUUCGUGGUGUAGCGGUGAAAUGCUUAGAUAUCACGAAGAACUCCGAUUGCGAAGGCAGCUCACUGGAGCGCAACUGACGCUGAAGCUCGAAAGUGCGGGUAUCGAACAGGAUUAGAUACCCUGGUAGUCCGCACGGUAAACGAUGGAUGCCCGCUGUUGGUCUGAAUAAGUCAGCGGCCAAGCGAAAGCAUUAAGCAUCCCACCUGGGGAGUACGCCGGCAACGGUGAAACUCAAAUGCAAUUGAUC